rnacentral:rRNA from 1 species
AUUGAACGCUGGCGGCAUGCCUUACACAUGCAAGUCGAACGGCAGCACGGGAGCAAUCCUGGCGGCGAGUGGCGAACGGGUGAGUAAUAUAUCGGAACGUGCCCAGUAAUGGGGGAUAGCCCGGCGAAAGCCGGAUUAAUACCGCGUACGACCUACGGGUGAAAGCAGGGGAUCGCAAGACCUUGCGUUAUUGGAGCGGCCGAUAUCAGAUUAGCUAGUUGGUGGGGUAAAAGCCUACCAAGGCGACGAUCUGUAGCUGGUCUGAGAGGACGACCAGCCACACUGGGACUGAGACGCGGCCCAGACUCCUACGGGAGGCAGCAGUGGGGAAUUUUGGACAAUGGGCGCAAGCCUGAUCCAGCCAUGCCGCGUGUGGGAAGAAGGCCUUCGGGUUGUAAACCACUUUUGUCAGGGAAGAAACGCUCUGGGCUAAUACCCUGGGGUAAUGACGGUACCUGAAGAAUAAGCACCGGCUAACUACGUGCCAGCCGCCGCAGUAAAAC